CGAAGGGUGCAAGCGUUACUCGGAAUUACUGGGCGUAAAGCGUGCGUAGGUGGUUCGUUAAGUCUGAUGUGAAAGCCCUGGGCUCAACCUGGGAAUGGCAUUGGAUACUGGCGACCUAGAGUGCGGUAGAGGGGUGUGGAAUUCCCGGUGUAGCAGUGAAAUGCGUAGAUAUCGGGAGGAACAUCUGUGGCGAAGGCGACACCCUGGACCAGCACUGACACUGAGGCACGAAAGCGUGGGGAGCAAACAGGAUUAGAUACCCUGGUAGUCCACGCCCUAAACGAUGCGAACUGGAUGUUGGGUGCAACUUGGCACUCAGUAUCGAAGCUAACGCGUUAAGUUCGCCGCCUGGGAAGUACGGUCGCAAGACUG
rnacentral:rRNA from 1 species